rnacentral:rRNA from 1 species
UUCCAGCUCCAAUAGCGUAUAUUAAAUUUGCUGCAGUUAAAAAGCUCGUAGUUGGAUUUGUGGUGUGGUGCGUCUGGAGCCAGCGUGGUCCUUUCGAGGGCUGUGUUGUGUGAUCCGGGUAAGCGUGCCUGCCAUUUGUUCCUCUUCUUCAGAGUCGCAAGACGAUGUUGGGGGAACCCUUUACUUUGAGCAAAUUAGAGUGUUCCAAGCAGGCCGUUCUAGGGCCGUGAAUACAUGAGCAUGGAAUAAU